UGGGGAAUUUUGGACAAUGGGGCGAAAGCCUGAUCCAGCAAUGCCGCGUGUGUGAAGAAGGCCUUCGGGUUGUAAAGCACUUUUGUCCGGAAAGAAAUCCUUGGCUCUAAUACAGUCGGGGGAUGACGGUACCGGAAGAAUAAGCACCGGCUAACUACGUGCCAGCAGCCGCGGUAAUACGUAGGGUGCAAGCGUUAAUCGGAAUUACUGGGCGUAAAGCGUGCGCAGGCGGUUUGCUAAGACCGAUGUGAAAUCCCGGGCUCAACCUGGGAACUGCAUUGGUGACUGGCAGGCUAGAGUAUGGCAGAGGGGGGUAGAAUUCCACGUGUAGCAGUGAAAUGCGUAGAGAUGUGGAGGAAUACCGAUGGCGAAGGCAGCCCCCUGGGCCAAUACUGACGCUCAUGCACGAAAGCGUGGGGAGCAAACAGGAUUAGAUACCCUGGUAGUCCACGCCCUAAACGAUGUCAACUAGUUGUUGGGGAUCAUUCCUUAGUAACGUAGCUAACGCGUGAAGUUGACCGCCUGGGGAGUACGGUCGCAAGAUUAAAACUCAAAGGAAUUGACGGGGUCAUAGCUG
rnacentral:rRNA from 1 species